rnacentral:lncRNA from 1 species
CACUUCUGAAUAAUUUAACACUUUUACAAGUCUAUAUAAUAACUGGAGUUAAUUGAACAGUCUAUACAUCCACUAAUUUCUCCAGGGCAGAAAAGUUCUCCAGGGCAGAAAAGUUCAUUCACUGUCAUCAUGUGUACUGCGUAUUUCCAACGGAUAGAGCUUCACAAUCGGACGGUUGGUGAUUCCUGUGUCGGUCUUGAUAACAGCUGAUCGAAUGAGUCCAUCCUUUCCACGAACUAAAUCUUGUACAAC